AUCCAAGCAAUCGGGUUCUUUAGCAUCUAAGAUUUAAGCACAAAAUCCAAAUACAAGCUUUAAUUAGGGAUGCUCCCAUACACAGUACUGCAAACUAUCAAAGAUUUCGAAAACAAUAGAAGGUGCUUCCCUUGUCUAUGAACUCCAAAGCUGUAGGUGGGUCCUUCACUGAAAUUCUGAUAAAGGGUAACGGUUGCAAGGAUAACUGGGCCAAAAAAGGCCAACAUGAACUUUUCGGCCAUUGAAAUCCGUAACUGGCAUAUUUCAGCUCAGAGGAGCCCACAUUCUCACUGAUACGCGCUGGCUUUGGAAGAGGCAAGAAAUAAACAGCAAUCUUCAAAGCCAAAACUUAGCUCUUUCAGACGCCCUUUCUGUCUCAACAGGCUAAAGAUGGAAAAAAGAAGAAGCAUUUCUUGGAUCUUAUUUGUGCAGAUAUAAUUGCGCUAAGAUUGAACAAUGACUUUUCUUAGAUCUCAGUCCACAUUCCUUGAUCUUAUGUUUCUAGAAUUUGAUUAUGCGGGAAAUUUAAUUAACAAACAAAGCAACAUGUGGCUAUUAAAUAAUUGCUUUUCUUGAAUAGUUGACGGUUGUUGGGUUUUGAGGUUACUGAUGCGGCUAAAAGAUGGGUUUCUGAAUUGUGUACUUAGUUUCUUAAUUUUAUGCCUCUGAAUCUGGCUAAAAAAUAUCGAAAAGUGAGUUAUCUUGAUUUUAUGCCUAUUGAUUCCUGGCUAAAAAUAUUGAAACUAAGUCUUUCUUUAAGCCUUGCUAUCUCACUUUUGAUAAUGUGUUCUUUGUGUUGCUAAAAGACUGAAUAACCAGUUCUUUAAGAUCACAGUCUACAUUCCUUGAUUUUAGUGCCUCAGGAGUCCUUAUUACUUUGAAUUUUAAGCGUGAAUUAUGUGGCUUUUCUGAACUGGAGCGACAUGUGGCUAAAAAGUUCUAUAAUUCUACGAUAUGAACAUUUCUUUUAAAUGAAUUUACAUGUUUAUAUGAAAAGUUCUAAAAAUGUAGUUUAUUUUUAACAAAUAAAAAUGUUAUUUGUUCCUUUA